UACGUAGGGGGCAAGCGUUGUCCGGAAUCAUUGGGCGUAAAGCGCGUGUAGGCGGCUCGGUAAGUCCGCUCUGAAAGUCCAGGGCUCAACCCUGGGAUGCGGGUGGAUACUGUCGGGCUCGAGUCCGGAAGAGGCGAGUGGAAUUCCGUGGUGUAGCGGUGAAAUGCGCAGAUAUCAGGAGGAACACCAAUGGCGAAGGCAGCUCGCUGGGACGUGACUGACGCUGAGACGCGAAGCGUGGGAGCAAACAGG
rnacentral:rRNA from 1 species